AAUAAGAUUUUAUUAGAGGAUAAUAAUAAAAAAUUAUGAUAGAAAUGAUUUUUUUGUAUGUGUCCGAAUGAAAUGAACUUAGAAAGUUAUGAAUUUUCAUAUAAAUAUUUUAAGAAACAUAUUUGCUACAUAAUAAUUGAUAGUAAAUAGAUAGGGUGAGAAAAAAAUCUCUAAAAUCUUAAUUGCAGUGUCAAUAUCUCAAUAAUUUCUUUGUUUUUGUCAGAAACAAAAACAAAAUAAAAAGUACUCUACUUGCUCAUUUGGUUCACACGCCUUUUAAUAACAUGGUGACAUGUGGCAUGCGCAUUGAAAAUAAAAUUCAAUAUGUUGAAUAGAUUCAAUACCCUAAAAUCCAUGUUGGUUUUUUCAGUUUUCAACAUCCCUAUUGGAUUAAUUAAACAGUUGAAACUUUUUUUCAAGAGGUCCAGUGCAAGUAGUCUUACAACACCCAGUUUUUUCAUUUUAACAUUCCAUAUCAUCUUCUCUCUUACACAUCAUUAUUUAACACCUAUAUUACUUUUACCCUCUACAAUAGUUUUGUUUAAUAAAACCACAACCCUUUACCUAACCAUUUUUGUGUCAUAUUUUUUUUUUAUGUUUAUGUUUUUUGUGAUUACAUAUUAUUAAUCAUCGUUAAUAUAAAAUAAAAUUAAAUUAAUUAAAUAUUACAUAAUUGUAUAAAAUAA
rnacentral:sRNA from 1 species